GAUGAAGAACUUAGCGAAAUGCGAUAAGUAAUGUGAAUUGCAGAAUCCAGUGAAUCAUCGAAUCUUUGAACGCACAUUGCGCCCGCCAGCAUUCUGGCGGGCAUGCCUGUUCGAGCGUCAUUUCAACCCUCGACCUCCCUUUGGGGAAGUCGGCGUUGGGGACCGGCAGCACACCGCCGGCCCUGAAAUGGAGUGGCGGCCCGUCCGCGGCGACCUCUGCGUAGUAAUCCAACUCGCACCGGAACCCCGACGCGGCCACGCCGUAAAACACCCAACUUCUGAACGUUGACCUCGAAUCAGGUAGGACUACCCGCUGAACUUAAGCAUAUCAAUAAGCGGAGGA
rnacentral:misc_RNA from 1 species